GUGCUAAGUGGAAAAGGAUGUGAAGUCGCAUAGACAACCAGGAGGUUGGCUUAGAAGCAGCCACCCUUAAAAGAGUGCGUAAUAGCUCACUGGUCAAGUGAUUUCGCGCCGACAAUGUAACGGGGCUCAAGCACGCCACCGACGUUCUAUCAUUCACACACUAUCCCGGUCUACCUUUAUUGGAUAGAUCCAGGAGUGUGGAUGGGUAGGGGAGCGUCGUGUAGCUAGUGAAGCGGCAGAGGAAUCUAGCCGUGGAAGCUACACGAGUGAGAAUGUAGACAUGAGUAGCGAAAGACGGGUGAGAAACCCGUCCACCGAAUGACCAAGGGUUCCUGGGCCAGGCUAAUCCGCCCAGGGUAAGUCGGGACCUAAGGCGAGGCCGACAGGCGUAGUCGAUGGACAACUGGUUGAUAUUCCAGUACCCGUGUUAUACCGCCCAUGGCGAAUCAAUAAUGCUAAGUGCCCAAAGCUGGAACGGACUUGUCCGGGAAGGUGGAGCGCGCGACCCAAGUUGGUAGUAGUCAAGCAAUGGAGGGACGCAGGAAGGUAGUCCAACCCAGGCGAUGGUUGUCCUGGGGUAAGGGUGUAGGACGGAGCGUAGGCAAAUCCGCGCUCCAAUGUCUGAGACCUGAUGCCGAGCCGUAUGGCGAAGUGGAUGAUCCUAUGCUGCCAAGAAAAUCUUCUAGCGAGGUAUAAGGCGGCCCGUACCCGAAACCGACUCAGGUGGUCAGGUAGAGAAUACCAAGGUGAUCGAGAGAAUCGUGGUGAAGGAACUCGGCAAAAUACCCCCGUAACUUCGGGAGAAGGGGGGCCAAUUUAGGUGUAGGAGUUUACCUCCGAAGCUUGAGUUGGCUGCAAAGAAUAGUCUCAAGCGACUGUUUACCAAAAACACAGGUCCGUGCGAAGUUGCAAAACGAUGUAUACGGACUGACGCCUGCCCGGUGCUGGAAGGUUAAGGGGACUGGUUAGCUCUUCGGAGCGAAGCUGAGAACUUAAGCCCCAGUAAACGGCGGUGGUAACUAUAACCAUCCUAAGGUAGCGAAAUUCCUUGUCGGGUAAGUUCCGACCUGCACGAAUGGCGUAACGACUUGAGAACUGUCUCCACCGCGAACUCGGCGAAAUUGCAUUACGAGUAAAGAUGCUCGUUACGCGCAGAAAGACGGAAAGACCCCGGGACCUUUACUAUAUCUUGAUAUUGGUACUCGGAACGUUCUGUGUAGCAUAGGUGGGAGGCUUUGAAGCGGAGCGCUAGCUUUCGUGGAGCCAUCAUUGAAAUACCACUCUGAACGUUUUGAGUUUCUAACCUCGGUCCAUUAUCUGGAUCAGGGACAGUGUCUGGUGGGUAGUUUAACUGGGGCGGUUGCCUCCUAAAAAGUAACGGAGGCGCUCAAAGGUUCCCUCAGUCUGGUUGGCAAUCAGAUGUCGAGUGUAAGUGCACAAGGGAGCUUAACUGUGAGACAGACAUGU
rnacentral:rRNA from 1 species